rnacentral:misc_RNA from 1 species
GAUGAAGAACGCAGCAAAAUGCGAUAAGUAAUGUGAAUUGCAGAAUUCAGUGAAUCAUCGAAUCUUUGAACGCACAUUGCGCCCGCCAGUAUUCUGGCGGGCAUGCCUGUUCGAGCGUCAUUUCAACCAUCAAGCCCCCGGCUUGUGUUGGGGACCUGCGGCUGCCGCAGGCCCUGAAAACCAGUGGCGGGCUCGCUGUCACACCGAGCGUAGUAGAUUUUCAUCUCGCUCAGGGCGUGCUGCGGGUUCCGGCCGUAAAAAGCCUUAUUUACCCAAGGUUGACCUCGGAUCAGGUAGGAAGACCCGCUGAACUUAAGCAUAUCAAUAAGCGGAGUA